AAUGCUCUGAAGCUCUUCAUGGAGAUGAACCAGAAGCUGUUUGAUGACUGCACACAGCAGUACAAGGCUGAGAAACAGAAAGAGAAGUACAAGCUGAAGGAGAGGGAGGAGGUCUGGCACAAGAUAGAAGAGCUGGCCAGGCAGAACCCACAGAGCCAUAAACUCCACCCCCUUCGCCCUGGACUCCACCCACAGGAGGAGGUCAGUUCUUGUACCAAUCAUGUUUUAUUUUGAGUUUUCUUCCCAUGAAUCAGUGCUGUUUGAGUCUGUUGAGUCCGA